UACGUAGGGGGCUAGCGUUGUCCGGAAUUAUUGGGCGUAAAGAGCUCGUAGGCGGUCUGUCGCGUCGGAUGUGAAAAUCCAGGGCUCAACCCUGGACCUGCAUUCGAUACGGGCAGACUAGAGUUCGGUAGGGGAGACUGGAAUUCCUGGUGUAGCGGUGAAAUGCGCAGAUAUCAGGAGGAACACCGGUGGCGAAGGCGGGUCUCUGGGCCGAAAUUGACGCUGAGGAGCGAAAGCGUGGGGAGCAAACAGG
rnacentral:rRNA from 1 species